rnacentral:tmRNA from 1 species
GGGGGUGACAGGCUUCGACCUCGGAGAGUCAAGACAAGAGAAGCGAGCAGUGCUUAUCGAACGCACUUUAAUAAAUCGACAAAAAAACAAACGCCGAGCCUCAGCUCGCACUCGCUGCUUAGUACGUAGCGACGUCUGCCCAUCUCAAGCGCUAAGGGAUGGUUCACAGAUGUCAUAAAUUAGCGCUACCAUAUGGAUAUCUACCGGCCUAUAUGGGAAACUCAGGUAGAAAAACCCGUGAUCUUCGUUGGGCGAGUGAAACGGGGAAAAUAAGCCCGACUGCGCUCGGAGAAUGCUUGUCGAGAGACCGAGGGACGCGGGUUCGACUCCCGCCACCUCCACUU